rnacentral:lncRNA from 1 species
CUUCAGGAUUACAUUGUUUACAAACCAAUCCUGACCUGGCAACUCUACAUCAACAGAAAGGAAGAGAAGAAAAAUGCCCUCCUUAAGUGUCACAUGGACCAACCCCGGAGCUGAUGGAUACAGGUGAUACUAAAAUAAUAUUUUGAAAAUAGGCCAAUUCGCUUCUUAAUAAAAGCUUGCUGCAAAAGGCAGUCAGCUCAUUUGAUUUUAUCUCACGUGCGGCCUCUGAGUUGAUGCCAUUGAAUUCAAAGAAGAGGGGAGGACUCAGAAAUAUGGCUUCGCCUAAAAGGAUAGAUUCCCAGAUCUAGAAAUACUGGGCCAAAGGGCAUGAACAUUUUUAAGGUGAAAAAAGGUAUCUUUGACAUCAGUUGUAAAGAAGCCACCAUGACGAACAGGAACAAUGCCAGGACCCACUUCCCAACUAUGGAGAAAAAUCUGUUCCGGGAAUACCAUGUGAACUCUGGAAUCCCAAGAGCCUGACUCAA